UUUGUUUUAGUAUAAUAAUUAUGUUAGUUUUUCGUGCUAGAGAUAAUCUUUUGAUUAAACAAAU
rnacentral:tRNA from 1 species